CUAAAGACCCUGCAGGGGUGAUACCAGGAUCAUGAGGGUGAUUCUCCCAUGGCAAGGCUUACCCAUUGCACUCCAAAUGUGCUGACCCCUGACAUUCUCCAGCUUGUGGUAGUGGGGCACUGGAAUAGCUCUCCCCUG
ensembl:snRNA U1 U1 spliceosomal RNA